UACGUAGGGGGGCGAGCGUUGUCCCGGAUUUAUUGGGCGUAAAGAGCGUGUAGGCGGCCAGGUAGGUCUGCUGUGAAAACUCGAGGCUCAACCUCGAGACGUCGGCGGAAACCAUCUGGCUAGAGUCCGGAAGAGGAGAGUGGAAUUCCUGGUGUAGCGGUGAAAUGCGCAGAUAGCAGGAGGAACACCGGUGGCGGAAGGCGGGACUCUGGGCCGAUACUGACGCUGAGGAGCGAAAGCGUGGG
rnacentral:rRNA from 1 species